CGUGUAGGCGGCUUUGCAAGUCGGGUGUGAAAGCCCUCAGCUCAACUGAGGAAGUGCGCCCGAAACUGCAGAGCUUGAGUGCCGGAGAGGGUGGCGGAAUUCCCCAAGUAGAGGUGAAAUUCGUAGAUAUGGGGAGGAACACCGGUGGCGAAGGCGGCCACCUGGACGGUAACUGACGCUGAGACGCGAAAGCGUGGGGAGCAAACAGGAUUAGAUACCCUGGUAGUCCACGCCGUAAACGAUGAGAACUAGGUGUCGUGGGUGUUGACCCCCGCGGUGCCGUAGCUAACGCAUUAAGUUCUCCGCCUGGGAAGUACGGUCGCAAGACUAAA
rnacentral:rRNA from 1 species